AAUCCCAAGCUUGGUCUGAGUGUGACUGGUCCACAAAUGCAAUCCAAGCUAGGUCUGAGCGGGACUGGUCCACAAAUGUAAUCCAAGCUAGUAAUGAGUGUCAGCACUUGCCCACAAAUGCAAUCCAAGCUAGGUCUGAGUGUGACUGGUCCACAAAUGUAAUCCAAGCUAGUAAUGAGUGUCAGCACUUGCCCACAAAUGCAAUCCAAGCUAGGUAUGAGUGUCAGCACUGGCCCACAAAUGCAAUCCCAAGCUUGGUCUGAGUGUGACUGGUCCAUAGAUGCAAUCCAAGCUAGGUCUGAGUGUCAGCACUGGCCCACAAAUGCAAUCCCAAGCUUGGUCUGAGUGUGACUGGUCCACAAAAGUAAUCCAAGCUAGGUCUGAGUGUGACUGGUCCACAAAUGUAAUCCAAGCUAGUAAUGAGUGUCAGCACUUGCCCACAAAUGCAAUCCAAGCUAGGUAUGAGUGUGACUGGUUCACAAAUGUAAUCCAAGCUAGGUCUGAGUGUGACUGGUCCACAUAUGUAAUCCAAGCUAGUAAUGAUCGAGUGUCAGCACUUGCCCACAAAUGCAAUCCAAG